GUCUACGGCCAUACCACCCUGAAGGUGCCCGAUCUCGCCCGCUCUCGGAAGCUAAGCAGGAUUGGGCCUGCUUAGUACCUGGAUGGGAGGAACCAACAAGGUGUUUCCAGUGUGGUCAGACG
ensembl:rRNA 5S_rRNA 5S ribosomal RNA